UCCGAUAUGGUGUAGUGGCUAACAUUAUCGCCUCUCAUAAUCAAAUUGUCAGCAUCUAGAGUUGCGCGAUAGCCCGGGGUUCAAUUCCCCGUGUCGGAA